AGAGUUAUAGCUUAAUAGGUAAAGCAUAUUAUUCAUAAUAAUACAGAUUAGAGUUCAAGUCUCUAUAACUCUA
rnacentral:tRNA from 1 species